ACCUCGGUAGCUUAGUGGUUCAGAGCAACAGGGCAUAAAUCUGAAAACCUGGGUUCGUAACCCAGUCGAGGUC